GAUGGGAACUCCUAAGUCUAUGUCUUUUAGAAGUAUGUAUUGAAAUACUCACAGGUAAAAUGGCAGGACACCUAGGAUUUGCUUCAAAUAUGGGAAGGAGUUAAUGGGCAAAGGUAUGGUUGAAACAACACUGGCCCUGAGUUGAUAACGGGCAAAGCUGGGCAGUGUGAACAAGGGGGUUCAUACACUACUUUGGCUUUAUUUCUUAAGUAUAUUGAAAUGUUUCAUAAUGUAAAAUUUUAAAAUCAGUAAUUUAAAAACUUCUUAUUUUUAUUUUCUUGGCCACACCUGCAGCAUAUGGAAGUUCAGGGAUCAAAUCCAAGAUGAGGGAGUUCCCGUCGUGGCGCAGUGGUUAACGAAUCCGACUAGGAACCACGAAGUUGCAGGUUUGAUCCCUGGCCUUGCUCAGUGGGUUAAGGUCCGGCGUUGCCAUGAGCUGUGCUGUAGGUUGCAGAGGAGGCUCGGAUCCCGAGUUGCUGUGGCUCUGGCAUAGGCCAGUGGCUAUAGCUGCGAUUUGACCCCAAGCCUGGGAACCUCCAUAUGCUGUGGAAGCGGCUCAAGAAAAGGCAAAAAGACAAAAAAAAAAAAAAAAUCCAAGACAAAACUGCAACCUACACCACUGCUGCAGCAAUGCCAGAUCCUUAACCUACUGUGCCAGGCCAGGCCUUAAACCCGGGCCUCAGCAGCAACAAGAGCUGCUGCAGAGACCAUGUUGGCUCCUUAACCCACUGUGCCACAGCAAGAACUCCUAAAAGCUUAUUUCUUAAAAGAUGUAGCAAUAAAAAGGAACAAACUGCUGAUAUACACAGUAACAUGAAUGAAUCUCAAAAUCUAUGCAGGGUUAAAAAAAACCAGACACAGAAGAGUACUUACUGUAUGGUUCUGUUUAUAUAAAAUUCUAGAAAAAGUAAAGUAAUAUAUAGCAACAGAAAGGAGAUCAGUGGUUUCCUGGCUCUGGGAAAAGAGGGAAGGAAAUUCUAUGGGGGCCAUGGAGAACCUCUUGGGAUGAUGAAAAUAUUCUGUAUCUUGAUUGUGGUGGUGGUGGUGGUUUCAUGAAUGUGUAACCACCUGUUUUGUUUUGUCUUGUCUUUUUAGGGCCGCACUUGAGGCACAUGGAGGUUCCCAGGCUAGGGGUGGAAUUGGAGCCACAGCUGGUGGCCUACACCACAGCCAAAGCAGUGCCAGAUCCAAGCCACCUCCGUGACCUACACCACAGCUCAUGGCAACUCCAGGUCCUUAACCCACUGACCGAGGCCAGGGAUCAAACCUGCAUCCUCAUGGAUACUAGUCAGAUUCGUUUCCACCGAGCCAUGAUGGGAACUCCACCAUCUGAUUUUUUAAAAGCUUAGGAAUACACUAAGGUUUUGAAAUUAUUGUUUCAAUAAAUUGAACACUAAUCAUUUAAACUAGAGGUCAGCAACGUUUUUGAGAAGGGUCACAUAGUAAAUAUUUUUGACAUAGCAAAACAUACAGUCUCUGUGGAAAUUACACUGAAAUUUGAAUUUCAAACAUUUUUUACAUCACCAGAUAUUAUUCUUCUAUCUAUAUUUUCCAGCGUUCAUAAAGGUGAAAACCAUCCUUGACUCAUAGGCCAUAUAAAUCAGAAGUGGGACAAUUUGACCCAUGGCCAUAGUUCAUUGAACUCUUGCAAACUUUUUACCGUUAGACAAAAAUAAAAGUCAACGUUUGAAUAGUCUUUUCUGCACAGGAAAAACCACCCCACAGGGCGUAAAAAUAACUCACUUUAGCUAUUAUUAUUAUAACUAUUAUUUCACCCAAUAGACUGGGUAUUUCCAGUCACUUUGGCAAGGAUUUCUUGGAAUAAACCAAAAAUGGUUUCAAAUUAUGGUUUGGUUUUGUAUGGAGCUUGUCUAAAGAGAGAAUGCACUGCUCCACCACCUGUGUUUCUCUUCUUUGUGGCAGAGGUUACUCGCUCUAAAGUGGAAAAUUGCUGUUCCAGCAUCUGUCACACUCUCUAGUAUAUUCUCAUUUAGACUGCAUCUGUCCCAAGAAUCUUGAUCACCCCUGGAUACCAACAAGAGUGAAUCUUUUCUCUGAGGCUGCAAGUGCAAGAAAAAGAAGGCGUGCUGGAGAGGGUUGCAGGGGGUUGGGCAGGAGAGAUGUGUGAAAAGGAGAUUUGUGGAACUCUUGUUGUGGCACAGCAGAAAUGAAUCGACUAGGAAUCGUGAGGUUUCGGGUUCUAUCCCUGGCCUUGCUCAGUGGGUUAAGGAUCAACUGUUGCUGCGAGGUUGCAGACACGCUCAGAUCCCAAGAAGCUGUGGCUGUGGCAAAAGCUGACAGGUGUAGCUCCGAUUUGACCCCUGGCCGGGGAACUUCCAUGUGCUGUGGGUGUGGCCUUAAAAGAAAUAAAUUAAAACAAAAAUAAAGUCCUAGUUUUUUUUUUUUUUUUUAAGGAGCUUUGUUUUAGAUGCAGAGGAGUUGGAUGAGAGAGGUUAUACAAUCUUUUGUUUUGUUUGUUUGUUUGUUUGUUUUGCUUUUUAGGGCUGCACCUGCAGCAUGUAGAAGUUCCCAGGCUAGGGGUCGAACAGGAGCUACAGCUGCUGCCUACACCACAGCCACAGAAAUGCCAGAUCCGAGCUGUGUCUGCAACCUACACCACAGCUCAGGGCAACACCGGGUCCUUAAGCCACUGAUUGAGGCCAGGGAUCAAACCCACAUUCUCAUAGAUACUAGUGAGGUUUGUUAUUGCUGAGCCACAAUGGGAACUCCCACAAUCUUGAUCUCAGUAAAGUGGGCAGCCAGACUGGCCAUGAAGAAUGAAAAGGAGAUGGCAUGAGGUAGAGGCUGAAAACUAUAGAAAAUGCUCUUUAAACAAUGUCAUAGAAGACACAAUAUGAACUAAAAGAUUGCCAACAGGCAGUUAGACACCAAAGAGAUAGGUGCACAAGUACUUGUUUGUUGGCAAAAUAACACCUACAUAAUUGCCAUUCUCUUUUGAAGAAGGAUGCCACGGGAAAAAAAAAAAAAAAGAAAAA
rnacentral:lncRNA from 1 species